AGCAUAUCAAUAAGCGGAGGAAAAGAAACCAACAGGGAUUGCCCCAGUAACGGCGAGUGAAGCGGCAACAGCUCAAAUUUGAAAUCUGGCCCCUAGGGUCCGAGUUGUAAUUUGUAGAGGAUGCUUUUGGUGAGGUGCCGCCCGAGUUCCCUGGAACGGGACGCCGCAGAGGGUGAGAGCCCCGUCUGGCUGGCCACCGAGCCUCUGUAAAGCUCCUUCGACGAGUCGAGUAGUUUGGGAAUGCUGCUCAAAAUGGGAGGUAUAUGUCUUCUAAAGCUAAAUAUUGGCCAGAGACCGAUAGCGCACAAGUAGAGUGAUCGAAAGAUGAAAAGCACCUUGAAAAGAGGGUUAAACAGUACGUGAAAUUGUUGAAAGGGAAGCGCUUGUGACCAGACUUGGGCGCGGCGGAUCAUCCGGGGUUCUCCCCGGUGCACUUCGCCGCGUUCAGGCCAGCAUCAGUUCGGCGCGGGGGAAAAAGGCUUCGGGAACGUGGCUCCUCCGGGAGUGUUAUAGCCCGUUGCAUAAUACCCUGCGCUGGACUGAGGACCGCGCAUCUGCAAGGAUGCUGGCGUAAUGGUCACCAGCGACCCGUCUUGAAACACGGACCAAGGAGUCGUCUUCGUAUGCGAGUGUUCGGGUGUCAAACCCCUACGCGUAAUGAAAGUGAACGCAGGUGAGAGCUUCGGCGCAUCAUCGACCGAUCCUGAUGUUCUCGGAUGGAUUUGAGUAAGAGCAUACGGGGCCGGACCCGAAAGAAGGUGAACUAUGCCUGUAUAGGGUGAAGCCAGAGGAAACUCUGGUGGAGGCUCGCAGCGGUUCUGACGUGCAAAUCGAUCGUCAAAUAUGGGCAUGGGGGCGAAAGACUAAUCGAACCUUCUAGUAGCUGG
rnacentral:rRNA from 1 species